rnacentral:lncRNA from 1 species
GUUGCGAGAAGUGUUGCUCUUGCAUUCUCAAGCGUAUGCGAGCGCGCGGCUCAGAGCCAAGGACGAAAGGCUGAAUGAUAUGUGCACGGAGACCAUUCAAACUGCUCGAGUGACAAGCGACUCCAUUGUCUCGGAAGCACGUCCCGUUCCCAGGGACAGCCCUCUCUGGUUUUUACGCCGAGUGUUUGCUGUCGCGCUGUGCUUUGGCGGCAUUUUCGCGCGCCCUUCGUUAAUGCGCGGGCUUUGAAAGACGCCCGGGAAAAAGCCGCGUGAGAGACGGUGCGCUCACCUCCACGGGCCAGCAACUUCGGCCAGCAACUUCGGUUUUGGAUAAGAUCUUCAGAGGAGAAGAAAUUUGCGGCGUAGCGUCUCGGCCAAGGAAUGCAGGAAGCCCUCUGGGACUGCCACGGAUGAUUUGUCAGAGCCGAGCAGCGGCAUCAUUGGCGGCGGGGAUGGCGGAGAGCCUCGCCCGGCUGGUGAACCUCAACACCAUCAUCCAUCCGUGCUACGCCGCGGACGGCGAGACGUCCUUGCGUCAUUCGCCACGUCGCCCUCGCAUCCUUCUCGGCUGCGCAGGAGUGACUACUACGCCGGUAUCGCUCGCGCCGGCCCGCGGUAUACAAUAACACCUCUCCUCCUCUCCCAGCAAGUCUUUUUCAGAGAAAGAAGGGAAAAAAAACAAAGACUCCGAAUCUCUCUGGGGAGCUUUUAGAGAAGGCUCCCGUGCGUCGCAGCUGUCGCCAUCAUAGAUAUAGUUUUUGUGGACCGUUGUCUCUUGUUUGAACGUUAACUAGCUACGGCGCGCCGGGUUGUGCAGUCUACUUCCAAGGGCAACGCUGAUCUGUGUGUGUGUGGCAUACGCAAGAAGAUGCACUGUGCGGAGUCAGCGACGCCUACCGAAUCGUAACCCGAAAGAAACGGCGCUGAUAAAACCGUUCGGCGCCGCUUCGAGAACUCUCCUGCGAGAAGAUCCAUCGGGGACGUGCGUGCACGUGCGCGUCUGUGUGUGCCUUUUUUUUUGUUUUUCGUAGCCGAGUGUGCGAGGGGUUUUGUGGCAUUGCGGGUGUCCCUUUGUCGGCGGAGACGGUGUGCGUGCGACGGUGGGAAGCGACGAAGAAGUACGCGACGACGAGCGUGCGUCGAGCGCGAUUCUGGAAGCGAUAGCGAAAAGCCUGUUCCCCGCCCGGUAUCGUGGGAUUAGGCCAUCGACGGCGGCGGUGGUAGCAGUGUCGCGCAGCCGUUCGUUUCGGCGUCUGCAACGCAACCGUAUAUCGCCAAAGCGCCGCUGCUAUCCGACCACGACGAAGUUUUCCGGAUGUCGAGCCUUGUUGCCCAAGCCUGCGCAGCGGCGAAUGACGAAGCCAAAGGGUUGUGGCGACGACGGUGGCGUAGUGCCUGUGUGCCUGUGUGUUGUGUACCGCACGUCGCGUGAUUCUCCGGUCGCGGAGGUCCCGUGUUCGCCUGCCUUCGCCCACGAGCUGUGGAAAGUGUGCUUCGUUCAUCAACUACAAACAGUGCGUCGCUUCGCGUAGCCACAAUAAGCCACCGCGCGUUGCAGUGCUUUCUUAUUUUACUAGGACUACGAAAGUACAGUCCAAGUUUUUCCGUCUGCUUUCUAUACCUCGCACGACCGGACCGACCGUCGGCUGCAAUCGAGGUAACCACGUAAAAAGCGGAUGCACGAUAUUUCUGGUGUCUCCUGAAGCGCCUUCAUCGGUCCAGCGGCAAACGGCUGCAGAAAGAAACGCCGGGACAGGAAGCAAGCCCCCCCCCCCCCAACGUAGUUCUUUCUCGUGAGUGAAAGUGUUCCGGCGGCGGCGGCGUGAACGGAGAGACUUCCAGGAACUACACAGCGGAGGCGGCGGCGGCAUAGCGCGAGAUCUCGUCGCUAAUGAGCCAGCGCUAGUCAGGCAGGCAGCUGCGAGACUCGCAAAUAAAGAAAAAGCCCAAGUCUGUGUGAUAGGCGAACGGCGGCGACAAAACAAGCCUUCGGAAGAAGUAAAAUAACAAAAGAGGGUCCGUAAGUCUUGCCGCGGUGGGCGUCUCUUCCGAGAGAGUGGUUCCGAUGUGCGUCCGGUGUUUUCGGCGUGUCGUUGCCCCCGUCGGUUUGUGGUCGUCGUGGACGUGCGUGUGAGUGUGGUUUUUACUCCAGGUCGUCUCUCCCGCGAUGCCUUCGAGCAUCGCGCCCAUGGCCAACGCCGCGUGCGUGUCGGCGGCAGGCCUGGCCGCUCAGCCGAAUGCGGCAACGCCGCAGCAGCAACGUCAUCAGCAACAGCAACAACCACCACAAUUGCAGGGACGUCUAGAUGGAUUUCAAACGGCUAUCAACCUGCUUAUGCGCCGCCGAUUCAGCACUGGUCAGGAGACCGGUGCUCGGAAACGGCUGGCGCUGUUCCAUCUCCGACAGAGAAGUUGCG